rnacentral:tRNA from 1 species
UCCCUGGUAGCUCAGAAGGUAAAGAAUCUGCCUGCAACACAGGAGACCCAGGUUCAAUACCUGGGUUGGGAA